rnacentral:lncRNA from 1 species
CUCUGCUGCAAACCCCUGACAAGUGUCACAGUCUACUGGGAGAGCCUCAGGGGCAGAGAGGGUUUGCAGAAACAACAGGAAACGUUAUGGAGUCAGUCCUGGGGAAAAGCUUGUCAAGGCAAACUUCUUGGUUCUUAAGUGGAUAAAACUCAGUCAAUCUUUGUCAUUUUUGCUGGCAGGAUUUGCUCUGAUUUGGGAAAACACACAAGCUGAUGGAAAGGAUGGGGCUUACCCGUUAUUUUCUGCUCCCUUACUUUGGCAACAUGCUGCAGAUGUACAAAAAGGUGACUAUUCAUGGCCUGGCAGGUGGAAGAUUAAUUCUGACUGAGGAAGAAUUUCUUCAUGAAGUGACUUCAAAGGCAAAAUAUUGUGGAGAGGGAGGGGGAAGGAGGCAACACUUGUGUGAAGGAAGAAGAGGGAGGCUGUGCCAGUUGGCAUCAAACACUGGAAGGAUAACCUUCGUCCUCAGGGCUGGCACCAGCAGCUCAGGCUAGUGCAUUGGCAGCUUUGCUCGUGCUGCAGUUUCGUCUCCCCCCCAUUGAUUUGCAUCCAGGGACACAGAGGGCACCUGGCCCAUCUCCAGUGCCUUCACCAGGCAGGGCAAAGAAAGCUUUGAAAGAAAUGAUGGAGGUAUUUAAAAAAUCCCUUCUGGGAAAACUGAGUUCAUGAUCCUUCUUUCCUGCUCAGCCUGUUGUUGAAGAGCUGACAGAAUCCCCAAUGGUCUUGAGGCCUUUGUGUAAAGUUUCUCUCACCUUGCCACAGUCUGUGGUAGGUCAUAGAUUUUCUAAUUUUUAUAUAUUUUUAUAUAAAAAUAAUAUUUUUAUAAUAUUAUUCAUUAUAAUAAUUAUUAUUGUUAUAUAUUAUUAUUAAAAUUCUGUCACAUGGUCUUCCUCAGGCACAUGACUGAGCUGAGAGCUGAUCCACCCACUUUUGUGAACAUAAUUAGAAAAGGUCUGACUGUCUCCUUUCUUCCUUUCUGGAUUGCCAUCACAUGGAAAUUUCUCUUGUAAGGCAGAUAUCUCAAGCUGAUUGUGGUGGCAUUUGAAAAAAAAGGAAAUACAGAAAUGCCAGAAACAAAUCCCUGCAUUUAGGGGCCACUAUCUCACCUAAGACCAGCACUUCUACAAGCCACACAACAAAAUGAGCAGGCUGUGGGAGUGGAAGAAGAAUUAGCCAUGAUCCUUUGUAACUUUUCCACCAAAGCACUCUUACUGUCUUCCAAACCACUCUGUUCUGUGUCCUGAACAUGGGUGAAGUUGGGCAGAUAUGAAGUUCUGUGGAGGUAGCUGCAACUUCAUCCUGAAACAUUGUCUGUAAGGAUCAUGCAGUUAUCCUCAAGGUGGGAAGCAAUUCCUCUUGUCCAGCAGAGACAAACGCUCAU